rnacentral:misc_RNA from 1 species
AGCAGCCGCGGUAAUUCCAGCUCCAAUAGCGUAUAUUAAAGUUGUUGCAGUUAAAAAGCUCGUAGUUGAAUUUCGGGAUUGACGUGAUGGUCGUGCCUUAAGGGGUAUGAACUGUUGCAGUCAAUUUCUCACCUUCUGGAGAAAUAUGAUGUCCUUAAUUGGGUGUCAUAUGGAACCAGAACUUUUACCUUGAAAAAUUAGAGUGUUUAAAGCAGGCUUAUUGCUCGAAUACAUUAGCACGGAAUAAUAAAAUAGGACGGCAUGGUUCUAUUUUGUUGGUUUCUAGGAUCACCGUAAUGAUUAAUAGGGAUAGUUGGGGGCAUUAGUAUUCAAUUGUCAGAGGUGAAAUUCUUGGAUUUAUUGAAGACUAACUACUGCGAAAGCAUUUGCCAAGGAUGUUUUCAUUAAUCAAGAACGAAAGUUAGGGGAUCGAAGACGAUCAGAUACCGUCGUAGUCUUAACCAUAAACUAUGCCGACUAGGAAUCAGACGAUGUUAAUUUUUAAUGACUCGUUUGGCUA